rnacentral:rRNA from 1 species
UACGGGGGGGCAAGCGUUGUUCGGAUUCAUUGGGCGUAAAGGGUGCGUAGGUGGCGGGGUAAGUCAGGUGUGAAAUUUCGGAGCUUAACUCCGAAACUGCAUUUGAUACUGCCUUGCUUGAGGACUGGAGAGGAGACUGGAAUUCACGGUGUAGCAGUGAAAUGCGUAGAUAUCGUGAGGAAGACCAGUGGCGAAGGCGGGUCUCUGGACAGUUCCUGACACUGAGGCACGAAGGCCAGGGGAGCAAACGGG